GGAGCUGUGCCUGAAGUAAAGGGCCACUUUGAUAGAGUGAAUUAUGGAGGUUAAAUUCCUCCCAACUCCU
rnacentral:tRNA from 2 species